UCUCGGGCUUCUCAUCAGCUUAUUGGCCCAUUUAGCCAGGGCAAAGGUGCAUGACAACUCUGAGCAAGUCAAAACAACCGUCAGCAGCGGGAAACCUCGAUGAACAAACACCGGGAGAGUGCAUUCCCAGGGGAGUUCCAGGAGGCCCAUGGCCCCUCCUGUACAGCCCUCCACCGCCCAGAGCCUUCCAGCGCCGUGUCUUCCCCUUGGAGCAUCUGGAGGCCCCAGACAGCACCCGCCUGACGUUCAGCAGAGGGGGAGACCGAGGCCUGCAGCAGAGUGUUUUGUCAGAUGCUGCUCCCUGACCGGGAGUGAGAGGGAACCCACCUAGAGUUUCUGCAGAUCCUGCUUUGUGACUUCGAGUGAAGUGUGGAAGCGCUGGAAGCACUUAGACCCUGCCUGUGAGUUGUCAUGUAUCAUGUCUGCAAACAUUAAAAAUCUCACCAGA
rnacentral:lncRNA from 10 species